rfam:Dipodomys ordii contig_47623, whole genome shotgun sequence.
GGGAAGGUAGCUCAGUGGUAGAGCACUUGCCUUGCACCCAUGAGGCCCUGGGUUCGAUUCCUAAGCACCA